AGGCUCUGGCUGAAAACCUUGGUCCGGUCAGACCUCGGGAGACCGUGGUGGCCGGGGAAGAGGUGUGUGCUAGAUGCCCAUCCUAGGGGCAGUUGCACUCAGCUCCAGCCCCAGCUUGCCCUUCCCUUCUUCCUGAAGAAGCCAGGAAGCCACAUUUUUAACAGGAUGGUCUCAAUUUGGCAAUGUCAGCAACUAUUUCAAAAGCGCUGGAAAUGCUGAGCUGACGACACCAACCCUCCCUCAGGCACUGGCAGGCUUGUGGCUCACGACGGAGUACACUGGCAUUCACUGAAUGUUUGUCCACAGUCUCUAGUGGAAAGUUCUCAAGGAACUUGAAGAAGAAAGAGGAAGCAAAGAGUGCUACUACACAGAAUUAGGACCAAGAGCCUCUUGAACUCCUCAGAGAGCUGGCCCAUCUUUGGGCAUCUCCACAAAUUAAAGGCCCAGAGCCCCCAGGCACACAACUGAACACCAGAUCACUGGCUGCUAUGGUGACUGCCAUUCGCAGGGACCAAUCCACCUUUCUUCACUUAGCCCAGAGGUAGCAUUAAUGAAUAACACUGGUCAACCACAUCGCAAAGGGGCCAUUCGACAAGAAUCCUGGCCUGUUCUGGGCAGUAUCUUAAUUAUAGAAAAGAAAAAUCCUGCUUUCAUUGCAUAUUAAUUAUCAGAACACUUUACUGGAAUUCUGCUGAGGAACUGAGGGUCUGAGGGAACGAUGUGUGGCAGGGCCCACACCAUGCGAUGUGCUGUGGGCCCAACCCCAAAGCCUUGCUGGGAGGUGCUGAGCCAGGGCACAGGGUCAGCCUGUGGGCUCCAUGCACCGUGGCCCCGGGGGACAGCCAACCAGGAGGGAAGGCGUGGGCUCACCUUUGGUAGCGUAGGCUUCCGCAAUCAUGCGCAGCCUGUAGGGAGGGACGGCUGUCAGCGGCAGGUCAUCGAGGCCCACCCGGGCAUAGAUGUUGAGAGCCUCCUUAUAAUCUCCUUCCACAUAAUUCAACUUGGCCAUGAUCAGAUUGGAUUCUUGUAGGAACUCUGACUAGAAGGAAAAGGAGAGAGAAAAACAUUUUCCUACAAUGCUAUGAGUAAUGCUCCCUCGGGGACCCACCACCUGCUGCCACAAAGCCUUGGGGCUGGCUCUCCACACGAAAUCACGAAAUCACGCACAUGAAGGUUCACAGCAGAACUGUUCAGCAUGGCCCCAGGACGGGCAACAACCCGAAUGCCCACUAACGGGGGAGUGGAUAAGGAAAAUGUGAUCUGGCCUCACAGAGGAGUAUAACUCAGCCACAGUGUGGAAGGAAACAUUGCCCCAUGCUUACAACAGGGAUGACCCUUGGAAACACCUUGGCAGGUGAAAAAGCCAAUCAUAAAAGGCAACAUGUUGUCUGCUUUCAUGGACAUGAAAUGGCCCGAGCAGUCAAAGCUAUGGAGGCAGAAAGUAGAUUAGUGUGUGUGCCUAGGGCUGGAGGGUGGGGGGAAUGGCAGGUGACUGCUAAUGGCUUUAUUUUAAAUAAAUAAAUUUUAAAUAAAUAAA